AACGAACGCUGGCGGCAGGCUUAACACAUGCAAGUCGAGCGCCCCGCAAGGGGAGCGGCAGACGGGUGAGUAACGCGUGGGAGUCUACCCACCACUACGGAACAACGCCGGGAAACGGGAGCUAAUUCCGGAUCAGUCCUUCGGGAGCAGGAUUUAUCGGUGAUGGAUGAGCCCGCGUUGAAUUAGCUAGUUGGUGGGGUAAUGGCCUACCAAGGCGACGAUCCAUAGCUGGUCUGAGAGGAUGAUCAGCCACACUGGGACUGAGACACGGCCCAGACUCCUACGGGAGGCAGCAGUGGGGAAUAUUGGACAAUGGGCGAAAGCCUGAUCCAGCCAUGCCGCGUGGGUGAUGAAGGCCCUAGGGUUGUAAAGCUCUUUCAACGGUGAAGAUAAUGACGGUAACCGUAGAAGAAGCCCCGGCUAACUUCGUGCCAGCAGCCGCGGUAAAAC
rnacentral:rRNA from 1 species